rnacentral:rRNA from 1 species
AUGCACUUCCAUGAAAGAGACAACUUGGAGAGAUCCCUAUGCAUUUCAGACAUCACAUAUCACAAUUUGGUAGCAUUAAUAGAGACAGAGGGAUAUGGGGUGAAUGAUUACAUUUACUUUGUGAGGGAGCCUGGUGUGGGUAUUGAAGGAUUGGUAGAAAUUACUGAUGACAUGGUCGAUGAAAUGCUUGACCAUAUUGCUAGUAAGGAUGAGACUGUACUGAAUUUGACAGUGAUUAGGGCCACUGAUCCAAGACCUGCAGAUUUGAAUUCAGGUUAUUUGUAUGAGGAGCAGGUUCCUUUGAGUCAAUUAGGAGAAAUCCCUGUCUAUGAAGUCAAUCCUUCUGGAGUUCUUUUCAGAUCACCUGAGAAAUCAAACAAACAGAGGCAGUCAGAGCCACUUCAGUUCUUUGCCACACAAUAG